rnacentral:tRNA from 1 species
GGACCUGUAGCCUAGCCUGGAUAGGGCGACGGACUUCUAAUCCGUCGGUCGCAAGUUCGAAUCUUGCCAGGUCCG